CGGUGGCGGCGGCGCGUGUGGAGGCGCAGCAGGAGUCAGAAGUGAAGACGCUGGUGAAGCACAAGAACGGGAAGAAGUACUGCGACAAAGGUUGGGAAUGCAAGGGGUGGUCAAUUUACUGUUGUAACCUCACUAUAACGGACUACUUCCAGACCUACCAGUUCGAGAAUCUGUUCUCCAAGCGGAACUCUCCGGUGGCGCACGCUGUCGGAUUUUGGGACUACCGCUCCUUCAUUGCCGCCGCCGCGCUCUUCGAGCCGCUAGGUUUCGGCACCACCGGCAACAAGACCACGCAGAUGAUGGAGGUCGCCGCGUUCCUCGGACACGUCGGCAGCAAGACCUCUUGUGAGUUCUCUACCAUCCACAUUUUGUGAAUUUUGUUUAUGGAUUGUGUGUGUUUGGUUUGGAGUGUGGAAAAUUGUUUAGGUUGAGCUUGCGGUCUUGAGAUUGUGAGAUCUGUGUGUGUUGUGGUGCUUGAGUAGAUACUUUGGAUGAUUUGGAUUUGUUGCUGUGUUGUCUGGUUUGGUUGCUAUGCUGUAAAGCUUGAUUUGUUUGGUAUUGAGUCGGUGCAGUCAAUUUUUCACGCAUUCUCGCCGUUGUCGCGUUUUAACUGUUGGAUGACGACUGGGCUUCUCUGAUUUUGAACGUGUUUUUUAAGUUUGAUUUGUCGAAAAAACAUGUGUAAUCUGAUCUUGUCUGUCUAUUUUUCUUUGACGGUUUGAGUUGUGGAAUUUGCGAGUGUGGGAUAAAAAAAAUUUUGUCGAGCAAGCAAUUUUGAAAUAGUGCGAUGUAUGUGGUGUUGGAAACUUUCAAUGAUUUGGAUUUCUUAUUGUGUCUGGUUUUAUCAUUAUGCUGUAACCUGGUUUGUUUGGAACUGGACUCUGUGCUGUUAAUUUUUUCAUGCAUUCACACAGUUAUCGCAUUUGUAAUUCUUGGAUCAAGAAAUGACCAAUCAGAUUUUGAAUGGGUGCUUUGAAUCUGGUUUAUUGAAUUAAAACAUGUGUUGUUCAAUCUCUGUCUGACGGUUGAGUUGUUGAAUGUGGGAAUCUGUGGAAAAUUGAAUUCGGGGAAGGGAAUUUGGAUCUUUAGUUGGUUUCACAUGUAUUGUCUUAAAUGACUUUAUUUGUGAUUGACAUAUGGUGUCUGUUAUGUUGAACCACAUUUUGAGGUAUGAGAGAUGUUUGGUGAGAGGAUAAUUCGUGGGAGACAUCUGUUUUGGAUUCAUUGUUUGUGUUUUGAGAGUUUCAUAUAGUAAGGUGAUUGAUUAGUUGUGUUUUAAUUGGACAAGUGUGUGGUGCUGAUUGGUCUUAUGAUGCUUGUACCAGGUGGUUAUGGAGUGGCUACUGGAGGACCUCUUGCUUGGGGUCUUUGUUACAAUCAUGAAAUGAGUCCUAUGCAGUCAUACUGUGAUGACUAUUUCAAAUUCACAUACCCCUGUACUCCCGGUGCUGAUUACUAUGGACGUGGAGCUAUUCCCAUUUUCUGGUAUGCGUAUGUUUGUUUGGCUGUACGGAUAAUAGAAGCAUAUUUUCCUGGUUUUGGGAUUCCCGGCUUAUUUUUCAUUGUUGACUAAAUUGCUUUUUAAUUCAUAAGAGAUAACUAAAGAUACCUAAGCUAGUCUUGGUUUCUUUCUGAUUCCUGAAAAUUUCCAUUCUUCUCAAAUGUAACCAGUUUUGUUCCAAGGUUUCUGCAAUAUCCCUGAGCAAUCUUUAUCAAAUCAGUCACACUUGUCGAAGGGUUAACACACACCACAAAGUUAUUUGUUCUUAACUCAUAGCUUCCUCUCUUGUCUGAAAAAAUGGAGUUCAUGGAUAGCAGUUAGGUUCUGGUGUUAUCCCCAAUUAAUUAAUCCGAAGUACAUGUGUCAAUGAUCACGAUCAUCAAACUCACUUUGGCAAAGAAACUAAUUGUUUUAGCAAUCUAAAUGACACAUUUCAUAGGCAGAUAACUACUAUAAGGUUAAGACCUUCAAAAUAUCAGUUAGCUGCUCAUUGUGGCAAUUAUAGUUUCUUCAAAUCAUAAUAAAGUAAAGAUAGGAGUUAAAUGGGCAUUACAUUACAAAGUUUGAAGACUAUUGUAAUAAGAAAGAACCUAUUGCAACAAGAGAUAAAGUAGGAUAAGAUUCAAUAGAGAAUAACAGUAAUUUAUCAGUUAUUGGGAAAAACAGAGCUGUAUUUCCGCAGAUGAUUUCUUAAAUUAUCAGUGAUACCAAUGAAAAUUAUUAAGAAAUAUAUGCAUGUGCAGAUUUUCUGUAAGACCAAUCAAAUCUUAAACCUGAUUCCAUACAUUCUAUUGUUCUGAUAUUCUGGUUCUGUUUGGUCUGAAUGGGUAGAUAUUUGGCCACAAUAGCAUAAUGGCCAUUUAUAAAAUUAAAUACCAUCUAAGACUACUUGUAUUUUAUGCAUAUUGUCAUGAAAGGCGGUUCUGGAUAUAUUUUAUUGGAGCUUUUUAUAUGAAAGCUGAAACAUAUAGACAGUCAAUAAAAAAACGAUUCAUUAGGUUUUAUCACCAUCGUUGUGCUUGUUGAAUGUGGAGGUUAUACUUAAUGGCAUACUCAUCAAUCCAGGAACUACAACUAUGGUGCUGUUGGAGAAGCUUUGAAGGUGGAUCUUCUAAGCCAUCCAGAAUACAUAGAACAGAAUGCAACCCUUGCUUUCCAGGCUGCAAUCUGGAGAUGGAUGACACCAAUAAAGAAGUAUCAGC
rnacentral:lncRNA from 1 species